rnacentral:rRNA from 1 species
UACGAGGGGGGCAAGCGUUGUCCGGAAUCAUUGGGCGUAAAGAGCGUGUAGGCGGUCCUGUAAGUCCGCUGUGAAAGUCAAGGGCUCAACCCUUGAAUGCCGGUGGAUACUGCAGGACUAGAGUCCGGAAGAGGAGAAUGGAAUUCCUGGUGUAGCGGUGAAAUGCGCAGAUAUCAGGAAGAACACCCGUGGCUAAGGCGGUUCUCUAGUACGGUACUGACGCUGAGACGCGAAAGCGUGGGGAGCGAACAGG